rnacentral:lncRNA from 1 species
UGGCGCCGCCGGGUCAGGGCCGCGGAGCCGCUCUCGGGCGGAGACCUUGCCCCAGGGGCAACGUCAGCGGUCCUGAGGUGAGGCUCCUGCAGAGCACUCUGGGCCGCGUGUGUCUCUCCCUGCGUGGGCAGGCAGUGUCGGUGGCCGGAGCGAGGGUGUUUUCCCAUCGGGGUGAGAGGGAGAGCCCCAGGGUGGGCCUGGGGGCGGAAUCGGACUCGGGGUUGGGGUGGACUCUUCUGAAGCUGGGAGGGGUGCGGGUGGGCAGGGCCUUAGGGAGCCUGAGGGAGGCGCGGUUCCUGGGGGAAGGGUGUGGCGCCCCAGCGAAGGGGCAGUGCUGGCCACUCGUGUGGCCCUUUGGCUGCUGGCACCCAGUGAGAGGGGGGAGGCCAGGGACAGGUGGCAGCCAGGCUGCCCACAGGCCCUGGGCGGUGGGGGGCCCGGCCCCUGUGCCUUGGGCAGCCUGGCCCCUUGCUGAGGCGUGCUUGCGCGUGUCCGUUGUCGCCCUCACCCAGCUGCUGCGGCGGAGAGACGGAGGCCAGCGCGGGGAGCGGAAGCCGGAGCCUGUCGGGAGCGACCCCGGGAAGGCCAGUCCCUCCUGCCGGAGGGAGGCGUGUUGGCGUGCGGCCGGUGGCGGGAUCGAUGGCCACCUGGUAGGCGAUGCUGCUGCGGCGGAGAGACGGAGGCCAGCGCGGGGAGCGGAAGCCGGAGCCUGUCGGGAGCGACCCCGGGAAGGCCAGUCCCUCCUGCCGGAGGGAGGCGUGUUGGCGUGCGGCCGGUGGCGGGAUCGAUGGCCACCUGGUAGGCGAUGGUAAGCGGCAGUGGCCUGCGCCAAGGUAGCCCCCGGGGGGCGGUGUGUGGCGCCCGGACCCGCACCCUCUGCUCCCGGGGGUGGAGCUGACCUGCUUGCCCGCGGUUGGGCUCGGGAGCCUGCGGGCCGCGGCCAGGAGGGAGCUGGCUGGCCGUCCCGGCGGUGGGGGCUGUGGCGGUGGCCGUCCCGCGGGUGUGCCCGUGCUCGGAUCGAUGAUGACACCCACAAACGCAUUCCUUGGAAAAUCUGAACAAAAUGAGUGAGAACUCACUACCGUCUCCUCAUCGCAAACUGAGGUCCGGCACGUGGCUCCCACAGGGGCCGUCGGGGGAGGGUCCCGUUGCCUUGGCUCCCUUGGGUGCGUGCAGCCCUGGGGCGCAGGUGGGGGCAGGCAGGCCUCCGGUGGCCCGGGAGGGCCAUGGGGAGAGGAGCCUUGGGGCUGGCCUCCUCGAGGGCAGCCCCGGGGCCCCGGGGCCCCGGUGCCCGGCGGGAAAGCCUUGGGAGUGGCAGGCCCAGUGUGGGGUGGGCUGCCUGCGGUGUGUGUGAGCGCCGCUGGGCUCUCAGGCCUGCGGCUGCCUCCGUGAGGUCCUGCCCGCGGUGUCGGGCGCAGAGGCUGUCUGUAGGUUGCGGGUGAGCAGCGGGGGCCUUGGCCUCGGCGGGACUGCCGACCCAGGUUCUGGUGGGGAGAGAGGAGGCCGGCCGGGGGCCUUGCCGAGAUGGCCGUUUGGGCGGGGUGGAUGCCUUGCCUGGUCUUCCCGGGGUCGGCGGGGCUGCCAGUGCCUGUCCCUCGCAGAGUCCUUGGUGGUCCUGGGCGGGGCCGAGUCGGCCGCGGACUGGGGUCGAGAGAAGUGCAGGAGGGCCAGAGGUCCUGGGCCAGUGUGCGCAGAGCACCGUGAGGGGGAGUGUUGGGUGCCCGGGGCGGCAGUGCCUUCAGGGCGGCCUGGGCUAUGAUGUGGGAUAUCCUCAGAGAUUUGGGCGGCGCGUGGAAGGCAGGACGGAGGGGU